GGAGGGUUAGCUCAGCUGGGAGAGCAACUGCCUUACAAGCAGUGGGUCAUAGGUUCGAGCCCUAUACUCUCCACCA
rnacentral:tRNA from 1 species